UUCUAGCAAAUAGCACAAUCAAAACUAUCUUGAUCAUCCUAGUUGCAGCAAUAGGUGCUGGCCGAGGUAGGUGAUUGGACACGAGACAGUCAAGGCUUAUAACUGGCCUUCUUGGUGGCGUCAUUGGUCAAUAUGUCUGUAGCAAUGGUGAUACUUGGUCUUCAGAUCUAGGAAUUCUUAGCAAUUCACAACCAUGACUAAUUACAACCUUUAAGGUUCAAUAGUCAGUUUUCAAUUUCUGUUUGGUCAGACAGUCAGAAAUGGUACAAAUGGUGGAGUCACUGUGAGGGCCUUUUAGCAGCUGCAGCAGCCGGCUUUAGUUGUUGGAUUGCUUACAACAGAAUGUGCUGUAGAUGUGGUCUACGAGGCAGCUUCUAAUAAUACCUUUAGCUUCAGCAACAGGGAUUUCUGGAAGCAUAAUAGAAUCAUUAUUAGGUGCAAAACUCCAGUUUGGUGGACAUCGCACAUUGCACAAGAAGAAGGAAGGGCAUCAUUAAUCCCACAUUAGUUGUGAAUCAAAAAGAACUCUGGCUUAUAUAGAAGGGGAUCAUUCUUCCCAUGUGAGGCAUCUUUUAAGAGACAAAACUGUGAGACCCAAGACGGCUAGAGGCCCAAGGGCCCGAGACGGUUAGAGUCCUUGACUGCAACAAUGACGCUAGAGAAAGAGCACUACCGUCCAUGGACUGUGGCACUCUUCCUGCCCGUACAUCAAUCGUGGGAGUACACAGACACGGUCUGUGAGAGUACACAGAUUUUCUCUUAACUGGGAGGCUAUGUUGUGGUAUGGAAGGGAAGGUAUCAUUAGUCCCACAUUGGUUAUGAGUCAAGGAGAACUCUAACUUAUAUAGGAAAAGACUAUCCUUCCCAUGUGAGGUACUUUUUAAGAGGCAAAAUCAUGAGGCUCAAGAUGGCUAGAGGCCCCAGGGCUCAAGACAGUUAAAGGCUAAAGCGGACAAUACCUCACAUGCUGAGCUAUGAGUCUUUAAUUGCAAUAAUACAUAUUAUUUUUUAAAUUUUUGAUUUUUUGAAAACUCUAUUCUUCUUCUUGUGAAGGGGUUGGUAAACGGGACCAAUUGGGAUCAAGAUCUCAAGAACGAACAUACCGGACAACAAUGGGAUUGGUUCAGUGUCAAAUUUGUAACUACACUGCUUACCUCCGUUACAUGCUUGUAUAUAUUCUAAGAGUGGCUCUUAUCUUUAUUUGUCAUUGGACAAUAAGAGGCAGUAGAUCUUCCAUGUGGGAGGAUUUGAAUGUACGGUUGUACCAUUGGAGAAGCCAAAUGGUUAGCUACCAUGUCUCUCCUCUUUUUCUUUUCUUUUCUUUUUUUCUUGAUAUUGGGGACCUAUUUUUUGCUCCAAUCCUUGCACAUAUGUUUGAUGCACUAUCAUCAGGAUGCUUGACUCCUAAAAGCACACUUGUCUGUGCUGCAAUAUCAAUGCAGCAGCUUUGUUAAUUUUUUAGGGAAUGUCCACUUCAAUCUGCAAUUUAAUUUACCGUAUGAAUUGUCAG